CAGUAGCCGCGGUAAUACGUAGGUCCCGAGCGUUGUCCGGAUUUAUUGGGCGUAAAGCGAGCGCAGGCGGUUUAAUAAGUCUGAUGUGAAAGCCCACGGCUCAACCGUGGAGGGUCAUUGGAAACUGUUAAACUUGAGUGCAGGAGAGAAAAGUGGAAUUCCUAGUGUAGCGGUGAAAUGCGUAGAGAUUAGGAGGAACACCAGUGGCGAAGGCGGCUUUCUGGACUGCAACUGACACUGAGGCACGAAAGCGUGGGGAGCAAACAGGAUUAGAUACCCGGGUAGUCCCUGUCUCUUAUAC
rnacentral:rRNA from 1 species